rnacentral:misc_RNA from 1 species
GAAAUGCGAUAAGUAAUGUGAAUUGCAGAAUUCCGUGAAUCAUCGAAUCUUUGAACACACAUUGCGCCCUCUGGUAUUCCGGGGGGCAUGCCUGUCCGAGCGUCAUUGCGAACCCCUCAAGCACGGCUUGUGUGAUGGGCCCUCCCGCGUCUUGGUCGUCAAGACGGGCCCGAAAUGCAGUGGCGGCUUCGCGGUUAUCCGAUCAGCCAGAGCGUAUGGGGACUUUCUCUCUGUCACACGCCCGCGGCGCGGACCGACUCCUGUCGACCUUUAUUCAUCUUUUUCUCGGUUGACCUCGGAUCAGGUAGGGAUACCCGCUGAACUUAAGC